rnacentral:misc_RNA from 1 species
GAUGAAGAACGUAGCGAAAUGCGAUAAGUAAUGUGAAUUGCAGAAUUCAGUGAAUCAUCGAAUCUUUGAACGCACAUUGCGCCCCUUGGUAUUCCGAGGGGCAUGCCUGUUCGAGCGUCAUUAUAACCCCUCAAGCUCAGCUUGGUGUUGGGGCCUGCUGCACUGGCAGCGCUUAAAAUCAGUGGCGGCGCCAUCUGGCUCUAAGCGUAGUAAUUCUUCUCGCUAUGGAGUCCUGGUGGAUGCUUGCCAUCAACCCCCAAUUUUUCUAUGGUUGACCUCGGAUCAGGUAGGGAUACCCGCUGAACUUAAGCAUAUCAAUAAGCGGAGGA